CCGCUUCUCCCUCUCAUGGGCUCUGCAGGCCGCCAUUAUCGGGCAGCUCGCGCCUCCGCUGCCGCCGCCUCCAGUCAGCAGCCGGCGCGCGCCCCCGUGGUGCGCGCGGACACACCCCCUUACGCCGACGGCCCCGCCCCCCUCCGGCUUUCCGUAGCGCGAGCCGGGACGUUCCGCGCCACCGACGAAGCGCGCGGCCGGCGGUCCGCUAGCCUCCUCCCUCUCCCGAGGAUUUGCAGAGCCCGGAGUCGUUGGAGGUGUGCGCGCUCCGGAGCGCACCACUGCUGCUGCUCCCCACAGGGGUGGCCGGGCCCUGGAACCGCGAGGCCACGCCACGCCGGGGCUCGGCCACCCUCCAGCUGCAGCGGGCGCUCAGGGCCCGCGGCCCCAGGGACGGUCUGCAGCGGCAGGUCCCGGCCUGGGGCUGCGCGCGCCCGGCCGCGGCCUCCCCUCCCCCUACCCGCCCCUCUUCCGACCUACCGAGCUGCGGGCUGGGGUGCGGGGCUCGCUGGGGUGGAACGCCCGGUGCAUCUUCCGCGCGGGUCUCGGGUGCUUGCGGGGCGCUGUGCUCUUUGGCGGGCCCGCCGGGAGGUGCGGCCCGACCAAAGAGGCCUGGCGUCCGCCCCGCCGGGAGGGAGACUGCAGCUUUUGUUCGAGUCACUGAGCCAUGUUUGCGGGCAGUGCAGUUACCGAGACGGCGGCGGCGGCGGCAACGCGGGGCUGGGUGCGAUCAUCUGGGAGGACGCCGUCCCCUGCCCCGCCGGCGCGGUGGUAUCUCCCUUAAAGAAGCCGGCGCCUCAUUGUUCCCCGGCCGCGGCCGCAGGGAGCCAGGGCCACCUCGGCGUGGGGAGUGAGGGGACGGCGGCGCCUGCACCUGGCUGCGGUGCUCGUGGCGCCCCCCGGAGGCUCCUGGUGGAGGGUUGGCCUGCAGUCGGCGCGCAGGAGAAGCCUCGGCCUCCUGGAGGACUGAGAAUUCCUGGGGGCAGGAACCUUGUCUGUGAUUGAUCUCUGCAGCCUCCUCAAUCUGAUACGGUAUCUCCCCAGCUGGCCUCCCUCACCCUGAAAAUGCCUAGACCAUUCUCCCUGAUUCCUUGCCUGUCUUCUACCCAGCUGGGAAGAAGACACUACAGCUUCCUAUACUCGUGACACAGAAUUUUGGGAGCAAUUCUAAAUGACAGGUCUGUUGCUUAGCUGGGUGACUUUCUACAAAUCACUUAAGCUUCAGUGCAUGAUAUGCAAAAAUGAGAACCAUAAUACCCAGAAUAAUUCUCUGACAAAUCAAUGGCACAGAAGAAAGAGAGGGAUGACGGUUGUUACAGUUUAAAAGAGAUCCAUGAGACAAAAACAACAGAGGUCUCAGCCUGAGUGACGGAGUGAGACCCUGUCUCAAAAAAAAAAAAAAAAAAAUUAUUGUUUGUUAACAUAAUGGCAUGGUGAUUAUGUAACAAAAAUCCUUAUCUAUUAGAAAUGCAUAUUGGAGUAUUUAUGGGUGAAAUGACUUGAUGUCUAACAUUUUCUUUAAAAUAUUUUAGAAAAGGCCCGGCAUGGGAGGCUGAGGCAGAGAAUUGCUUGAACCCAGGA